rnacentral:rRNA from 1 species
UACGUAGGGUGCGAGCGUUAAUCGGAAUUACUGGGCGUAAAGCGUGCGUAGGUGGUUCGUUGUGUCUGUGGUGAAAGCCCCGGGCUUAACCUGGGAAUGGCCAUGGAAACUGGCGAGCUGGAGUCUGGCAGAGGGGGGUGGAAUUCCGCGUGUAGCAGUGAAAUGCGUAGAGAUGCGGAGGAACACCGAUGGCGAAGGCAGCCCCCUGGGCUAAGACUGACGCUGAGACGCGAAAGCGUGGGGAGCAAACAGG